AGAAAUGUAAUUUAGUUGGAGAUGCAGCAUUGAAAGAGGCCCCUCAGCCCUCUGAGUCCACGUUGGUCAUCGAUCACCCGUUCACACUAGUUCCAUGUUAUCCCACUUUCAUAUCCUCUCCCUACACACUGGGGGCAAGUUUACAGAGGCCAACUAACCUUUACAUUGUGGCAGGAAGC